rnacentral:tRNA from 1 species
UAGCUCAGUUGGUUAGAGCAUGGUGCUAAUAACACCAGGGUUGUGGGUUCAAUCCCUC